UCCUUAUAAGACCAAAGCACGCAGAUUAUUGUGCAGGAUAAAAUUGUUCUUCAUCUGGCUGGGAAAAGAAGAGGCAAGAGUUUUCCCUGCAGAGGACAUAUAACAGAGGAAGAAACUCCUGGAUCUGACUGAUUUGCCCUAGUACAGAAGUCAGCUUGGGAAGAAUCUUCAAGAACUGAAUGGAAGACAAGGAGGCCUCUUGGAGAGAGAUAAAAAGCAAUGUGGGAGCAAAGGGCAAAACAGCUGACCUGGAUACAGAGGUCUGAAGAACAGAAGGACUCAUGGCACGUGGGUCACACAGAGAGCACAUGCAAAAAGAAAACGGACAAAAUGGGGCAAAAUUGGAAAAGAAAAAGGGAUGGAAAAGGUCUAUAACCAGUGCAGAAAGGUCUUUCUCUGAACUUGAAGACGGACUUCAUGCUCCAAAUUCCCUGAAUUUGUGCUAAACGCCUGAACCAAACUUCAAAAGAUGAAAGCCUACUUCGUCCUCAGCAUCCUGUUGGUGUUUGGAUUUAUUACUGGAACAGUCAUCAAGAGUAUAAGCCACAUAGUGGAUUUGAGAUAUAGGCAUCAUGUCAUUAUGGACAACAUCUCUAUGUGAUAAUUUUAGACGGCUUACUUAGUAUGGAACAGAUGGAAAUUGGUUUACUCCAUAUCAUUCUUGUACAAUAAUCAAUGAGUUUAUGAUGAAUGUCCAGAUGUCAUUGUUCAGCUACUGAGUCAUGCUGUGUUUGGUAUUUCAACUGCAUGGAUGUUCAUGAAAAUAAAAAAGUGUUUUUCCUUGUACGUUGAAACAGUGUGUUCCAAAGGUCCAAGAGGCUGUUUUUAGGAAAUGACCUUCAGUAUAUGCAGUGCAAUAAUGCCAGUCCCUUUCCAUGAAACAAAAACUAUAACUUUAUCCUUCAGCAUUUCCACAGCAGAUAAGUACAGAGAGGCACAGCAUGUGCAUAGGCACAAGUUUGCUGGGAUGCAUCCAAAAUAAUUUGGGGUCUAGACUGAGUUAUCUAGCAAGCCACCAAUAGGACAGGUCAUGUCUAUACUAAAAUAUGUACAAGAGCUGUCAGAUAGGGUACAUUUUACAAUAAUGGUGAAAAUCCUCAGUAAAUAAUACCAUGGUUUCACAGGCCAAUUUCUGGAAUAACCACCAAGAUAUCUUUUGUGAAGAGAAGACUUAUGAGAGCUUUGUAUUUUACCACAUCUUUACAUUCAUUCAAAUAAAACAAA